GCUCGGCAGCUGUAAUUACGGCAGGGUUGUCAAAAAUGAAAGGAAAUCACGGUGCUCCUCGUGCAUGUUUGCAUGUAUACGUCCGAGCCCCGAGGACAAGUGAUUAAAGACAGAGCCACAAGGAGAUGCUUCUUUCAACUCUUGCUAGCUUUUUGUUUAUAGUUUCCUUGUGUAGGCUAAAGAUAACGUUAGCUAACCAGCUAGCUCUCUGUGAUUGGAAUUUAUGCCAGCGCUAAUAUCAAAUACAGAAGUCUUACUUACUAACGUUGCCUGUUUUUUUGGUUGUUUUUUUUCACGACUGGUGUAACGUUACCUCUAACGUUACUUUACAGUACGUCAGCUGCUGGUCAACGCUACAGAUGAUGAGCUAUUACAAGUUACACAGGCUAACGUGACUAUGCUAGCUUUGACAACAAGGCCUAGCGUUACUGUGGCUAACGUUGUCCCUGCUACACGUGCCCUCGUCCCAAGGAUUCUUCUUGGUGUAGCUAGUUAGCUAGCUACAGCUCCAAUCGGGAACAGGACAUCAGUGAUACCCUGACACUCACUCAGUGAGCAGAAAAGAUGUGAAACAUCCUGGAGGAGUUCCAGAUGGUCUGCCAAGAUGGUCUUUAGCAUGUUGAGCAUCAUGCAACGACCACAUUGAUGAUCCACCAGAGGGACCCUUCACAGCGAUGCCCAUCCUUGGCUCCAUGCCCGAUGCCAGCACACCUCGCGGGAACCACAGAAAUGUUCCUCUGGACCCAGAGAGUACCCCGAACACGCAACUCACACCAUUUGAAUGAGAAGAGUGACCUCUGGCAUUUAUCCUAGAUGACUUGGUUGGGAGAAGAACUAACUGUUGUGGUGAUGAUUUGAGCAACAUUGUAGGUUUGGUAAGUUUGAAGGCAGAUUUGUCUGACUGGCCUUCAGCCAAAAAUGCUCACCAUGUACAUUGUGUGAAAAUUUGGUUAACUUAAGUCUGUAUUAAGUAAGAAGUAACACCCACCAAUUCACCUCUAUGCAGAAUUUAGCCAUUUUUAGCUGCUUUUGGAUUAUUGUUUUGG